rnacentral:rRNA from 1 species
CUACGGGGCGCAGCAGUGAGGAAUAUUGCACAAUGGGGGAAACCCAGAUGCAGCAACGCCGCGUGAGUGACGAAGGCCUUCGGGUUGUAAAACUCUUUUCUGAGGGAUGAGGAAGGACAGUACCUUAGGAACAAGUCUCGGCUAACUACGUGCCAGCAGCCGCGGUAAAACGUAGGAGGCGAGCGUUAUCCGGAUUUAUUGGGCGUAAAGGGCAAGUAGGCGGUAGCCAAAGUUGGGCGUGACAUAUCCCGGCUUAACUGGGAGGGGUCGUCCAAAACUAGGCGUACUAGAGGGCAGGAGAGGAAAGCGGAACUCCUAAUGUAGCGGUGGAAUGCUCAGAUAUUAGGAAGAACACCAGUGGCGAAGGCGGCUUUCUGGCCUGCACCUGACGCUGAGAGGCGAAAGCUAGGGUAGCGAACGGGAUUAGAUACCCUAGUAGUC